rnacentral:rRNA from 1 species
AUUGAACGCUGGCGGCAGGCCUAACACAUGCAAGUCGAACGCGUGGCGGACGGGUGAGUAAUGUCUGGGACACUGCCUGAUGGAGGGGGAUAACUCCUGGAACCGGUAGCUAAUACCGCAUACCAUCAGCUUUUCCCAGAUGGGAUUAGCUGGUUGGUGGGGUAACGGCUCACAAAGGCAACGAUCCCUAGCUGGUCUGAGAGGAUGACCAGCCACACUGGAACUGAGACACGGUCCAGACUCCUACGGGAGGCAGCAGUGGGGAAUAUUGCACAAUGGGCGCAAGCCUGAUGCAGCAAUGCCGCGUGUGUGAAGAAGGCCUUCGGGUUGUAAAGUACUGUCAGCGGGGAGGCGUUACCCGCAGAAGAAGCACCGGCUAACUCCGUGCCAGCAGCCGCGGUAAUUC